AUGACAUUCAAAAGAGCGAAGUGUACCAGAAGCACAAGAAAGAUGAUCAGAGAAUUAAGAAAAAGAAGAAAAUACCGAAUGAGAUUAAGAAGGAAAAUUUGGGACAAAAACCUGGAGGUGUCCUUCACACCAACACCCCCCUCAUCCAAUGUAUCACAAUGGACUAUAUAUCUAUUUAACCCCAAAAGGUGUCUUGAACUGAUCGAUUUUCGCCCACGCCUUCACCGCCUUCUUGCUUUAGUCUAAUCCGUCAUCAUCUCUCCAUGUAUAUCUGGAAGAACUUCCUAAUUGUUCUCCCUCCUUUUACUUUUAUCCCCCUGCAAUCCAUUCCGCACACCAGUAAUUGCAGUGAUUUAUUUAAAAUGCUAAUAGGAUCAUGUAGUUUCCUUACUUAUCAUCUUUCAAGGGCUCCUUACUGCACUUAGGAUAAAAUAUAGACCCAUAACCUUGCCUUUGGGGCUCUGCAGAUUGCUGCCCCUGCCUCUACCGCCAGCCUCAUCUUGCACCAUCUCUUGUUCCUCACAGCCAGCAGGCACUACUGCCCUCCUUUCAACUGCAAGCACAGUAGCACUGAGCUCUUCACUGAAUCAGGACUGCUACUCACGCUGUUAUUCUGCCUGGAGUGCUUUUUACUCAACUUGUCCUUCAGGUUUAUUAUGCUGAUGUACAUACCUUGGUGGCUGAAUGUCUGGUGGCCAGAUAAUUGAAAGAGCACACUAUGAGAACUAAGAUUCUAGAGGCUGGAAUAUGCAUGUCAUUUUGAUUGUAUGUGAUGUAUACCUGUACAUAUGGCAUGGCAUCCCCUUGAGUUUUAGAACAGUACUGAUUUCAUGUCACUUCAUUUUUUUAAAGAAAGUUAGUUCUCUAAAUGCAAAAUCACCUGUGAUUUAAAUUUCCUGCUUUCUGAACUCAUUCAGCAUAUAACAAUUCACAUAUCAGUUUUUUAAAAAGGUAAAAAGCUCUUAUCCUACCCUGGGCUUUCAUUUUUGUUUCAGAAUGUGGACAUGUUGUUUGUGCCAACAAAAGGGAAUUCAAGGAGCCAGAUGAGAAAGGUCAUUAAGAACAGACUAGAGCAAGAAGCUGUUUCCAACCCUCCACUGGAGUGAGGUCUAGUCUCCAGACAGAGAGAGAGAGAAGAAAGAAGGAGGAGGACGAGGGAGAAGGAGUGGGCAUAACAGGCAAGUUCACUAGCAGAAAUAAUGUGCCUUGGAGGAGAGCAGCCUUUGAAUGUCUGAUAAGAGGUGACCGCUUAUUAGCUGUUUGAUCCUAGACAUGUCAGUUAAUCUGUCUGGAUCUCAGUUCCUUUUCCUUGUAGAUGAAAGGACGAAACCCCAUUAGAAAUACUUGCCUGCUCUAUGAUCCUUUGAUUCUUGUUUUCUCUAUAAUGGUGGAAGCACGAGAAAGAGUAUAUCUGAGCAAAAGGGAUAGGAAAAAGAUGGUUAAUUGUUACAGAAUAGAAAGACUAAGAAGAAAGGCAUGGAUGGUAGCUAUGAAGGGAAAGUAUAUGAGAAAAUAAAGAUUCAGAUCUUUCUCCUUGCCCA
rnacentral:lncRNA from 1 species